CUUAGAUUUGGGCAGGGCUCGCCAGCUGUCGGACAGACACCUCCAUCCACACAGGGGCAUCCUCCCCGCUCCCGACCCCCCUCCCUCCACACCACCACUUCCUUCCACCACACUUUCACCCCCGCCCUCCCCGUUCCUGGUGGUGGCUGUCCAGUUGAGCCCUGCUUUCCUCUGAUCCCCUCGUCCUUGCACUUGAGUUUCUCAAGGAGAGGAAGGGAGAGUGAGAGAAAGGAAAGCAAACAGAAACGGGUGUAGUUGGGGCCAGGAGGGCUGAUGAAGGCAAAUACAGACAAAAAUGUGGAACUUUCCUGGGGAUAUGUUGUCAUCAGCACACACGUGUGGGCAGACUACCUGGGACUGAGUCCUGGCCUUGCUAUUUAGGAGCUGUGUGAUCCAGGAUAAGUUGCUUAACCUCUCUGUGCCUCAGUUUCCUCAGUAAAAACGGUGGUUGAUAGUACGUAGCUCCUGGGUUGUGAGGGUGACAUUAGUUAGUGUGUAUUUGGUUUUAGAACAGAGGGUGGCUCACAUCAAUGACCUAACAUGGUAGCUGUUUUGUGCCAGUGUCUGUGUACUAUUCUCACGAUGGUACCCACACAAGUCCCAGCUGUCACCCACACAAGCCCCGGCUCUCUGCCCUGAGCAGGCAUCCUGCUCACCUCACAGCCCCAGAGGCUGCUUUGUUCCCUGUUGGGGGACAGCCAGGACUCUGGGAGGCUGGGGGUAAUAACUGGGUGAGGGGUUUAUACCCUCUGUUGUUUUGCUUGGGGAAGAAGGAAUUGAUGACAUCCAGUCAUGACCUGAUUUUAUGGUUCUGAGAUGGUGGCAGACAAGCUCCAUGACCUAUAAACCCAGAGGGUACUUGACAAGGGGGUGGGCAUCAUAGGAGGCCAGUGGGCUCCUUCCUCCAGACAUAUCUGUGCUGAGCUCAGAGAAAGGGGCUCUGGAACGGGGUGUAUCCUGGCCCAGAGUCACAGUCCCGUUCUCUGGACCCCACCUGCCACCUGGGGAUUAGGUGCCGGCUCAGUGUUUUGGGUCCCACACAGGGGACUUUCCAAGGGUCUCCUGUAACAAGCGCCAGGCCAUCCACUGGUAAGGGGUGAUGUCGUGAAGCCCUGCAGAGGGCGACCACAGCCUUCAGCUCUGUACUUACCUCCUGCCAUCAGCCUGGUAGACACAGGACAGGGUCCCUUCCCCAGGGCGAGUUUACAUUGACUCUGCAGGGCCAGCCUCACAAGCUGGCCUCCGUGGUACCCACCGUGUUGGGAGGGGGGAGGGAUGAGGAGGAGGCUUUGUGGCUGAGGAGGGACCGGCACUAAAGGAGGAAGACGAAGGUGGAGAGGGAGGUGGCCCAUUGGAGGAUGGGCAGUGGGUGUGUAUUGUCCAGACCGGGUGACAAGACCAGAUUAGGGGCGAUGGCAGAAGAGGUGCCUUGGGCUAUGACUGGGAGGGUCCAACUGGACUCAGGACAGCCUUGAAGUCCCGGCUGAACCACCCUGCCUGACUCUAGAGGAAAUGCGUGGACUUAGGUGGGAAGGCACACAGACUCGUCCUCCAGCUACAGCCCAGCUGGGACACUUUCCCGGGUGGAGAGAGAGGGCGGGGGCAGCUCAGACAAGUGAAGAGACAGAACCAAGCCUGUCCCGCCGGCCCGGUCGCUAAACCAAAUACUCGCGAUAGGGAUGAUCCGUUACGUUCUCUAGUUCUUCUAGUUUCCUAAUCCUCGGGGCUCGGGCACGGAUAAUCCAGGGCUACGUACACAUGAGUCUUCACAAGGCUGCACAAGACCACAGUCUUGUCAGGAGGAGAAACUGAGGCUCUGGUUUAGGAGCUGCCCUCGAAUCACCAUGGAGCAGGACCGAGCGUGGGCUGCCCGCCCCUCCGCCCAGCCACCCCGCUUCUAAACCUGGGUCUUUUCCCGCGUCUGAUCCAGAGAGGAGGGAAGGAUGUACCAAGACAGGGUCUUUGGACAGACAGCCGUUUCAAUUGCUCCUCCUUAGAGCUGGGGUGGGAAUGCCUCUCCCCCCAUAUGCCUUCAGCCUAUUGGUGAGCGGGGAGCUGGAGCAAGUGUGAGGAUGUAGCAGGUUUAGAAGGAAAUAGCUUAAUCCUUGCGUGGGAUGGAGGAGGCAGGAAGGAGGGAGAUGUGAACCUGAGACCCGGGGCGUGUGACUGCCCCGUGGAAGCCUAAGGGUGUGAUGACCCUGCUGCCUGCCUCUCUCAGGGGGAUCGCCUUUGCUAACUGUGGGGGGCAGGGCGUAGGGCCCUAACGGGGGACAGGGCCUCCCGGUGGGGGCUGACCCCUCUGACUUUGUCCCCCCACUCGGAAGCCACCACCCUUGUCGUUUGCCCUCUGAGAGUCCUCCUCCCUUGGGCCGCCCCCUGCCCUCUGUCCCUGGGGCCGUGACAUUGGCAGGGUGCCCAGCGGGGCGAAGACGGCAGCUGUAGGUCCUGGUCCCCAGUACGUGUGUGAGUGUGAAUGCGAGUGGGUUGGGAUGGGGGAGCGGCGGGGCUGGGAUCAUCCGCAGAUCAGAGCUCGGGAGUAGAGAGCUUCUAGCGGGUGGGGCCGCCCUACACGCUGGAGCCCGAGGACCUGCCGCUGGGACCACCACCAGCCUCAACACCCCUGGAGGCCAGAGCACGUCGGACAGGCACUGACCAGAGGAGCCUGGGAGGAGCUGCGGGGGUGAGUCAAACUUGGGACAGACUGGGUGUGGCUGGGCUGGGCGAGAUGGGGAGAAGCCAGGGAUGGAAAAGAGCUGCAGGUGGAGCAAGAAGAGGAGGGAAACGGGAGAGCAUCCUGCCUCAGCCCUUGUUGCUGCACAGUAGCCACGCCCCUUUCCCGGGCCCUGCCACCAGGGGGCGCUGCGGGGUGGGGGGCUGCCAAGCGGAGCCGCAAAGGUGUGAGAUGGAGGCAGAGUUACCGCCUUGUGGGCCCCAAAGGGGACGGUGGAUGGUUGCCCCGUGUCCAGCGGCAGGACAGUGGGGCUCCCAGCCCAGGGUCCGGGUUCCUAGACCCUCCGCUCCUGUUGUGGGGGAGGGAGGAGCAGGCAGAGGGAGAUGAUCUGCCCAAGACUGCAGUGCGGCCUUUACCCCUGGGUGCUCACCGUGGCCCAGGCCCUGGAGAAGCUCCGGAAUAAAUACCUGUGGGCCUUAGAAAAGGGAGGUAGGAGGUGGUGUCACCUGAUAGCGGCUUUCCUUUGUCUGUUCCACCAGACAGAUGCCGGUCGUUUGGAGCAAGAGGAGAUGGUGACCAGCAGAACCCCGGGAGCUGCCAGGGAGGGCCGGGCGGCAGGUGGGCCUGGUGGCCAGCUCCACUGCCCCCUUUCUUCUUGCUUUGCCAGACCUGAGGACCCAUUCCUGGUUCCUGGUACGCUCGCUGCUGCCUGUCACCCUCCUCUGGGCCUUCCACCUCCUCCUGGUGGUGGAGGGCCCCCGUCUCAUGUCCCAUGAGGAGCCUUUGAGGCUGGCAGGACCCCUGGCUGCCUACAGCCUGAGCCUGAUGGUUCUCUCGGGGCACAUGUUCUAUGAGUUCAUGGCCACCUUGCUCCUGGCCAGCUACAGCUGCUUCUGCCAGCCGGUGAACUACAGCUGGAGUGAGCUGGGGUUAAGGAUGGCGAACGUGUGCUGGUGGUGCUUCUCAAAGGCCAUUGAAUUACUGGUCGCGGGGAGUAAUUCACAGUGGGUGAAUGGUCAUCUUCCUAUUACGAAAGGAGCCAGAGCAGAUGAGCUUCCUGCAUGUCUACCACCACAGCACCAUGCUCUUCAGAUAGUGGGCUGGGGUCAAAUAUGUGCCAGGGGUCAAGAUGAGUCAGGGGCUUGGGCAGCCCUGGCCCAGGACUGGUGGUGAGGCCUCUCUCUGCUGGGACAUACCUGAGAGGCAAGUGGGAGCAGCUGACCUACAAGGUGGGGCCGAGGACUGAAACUAGCAGAGCCCUCCCCGUGGAGAGUUUGGCAAAAAUGAUACGGCCCACAGCCCACCCGUGCUGAGCAGAUUCCUCUGGGCAAGUAUUUCAUCCUAUGAGGAAAGGACAAUAACAAUUCUCGCCGCCUUCCCAGAGUUCAGGAGGACAGAACUGGACCCAGCUUCCUGAACGCACAUCUCGUGGAUUUGUCACUAUUUGCACACCUCCUUCCUUUUUUUUUUUUUUU